rnacentral:rRNA from 1 species
CCUGACGCAGCAACGCCGCGUGGAGGAUGAAGGCCUUCGGGUUGUAAACUGCUUUCCACCGGGACGAUAAUGACGGUACCCGUGGAAGAAGCCCCGGCUAACUUCGUGCCAGCAGCCCCGGUAAUA